GAUGAACGCUGGCGGCGUGCCUAACACAUGCAAGUCGAGCGGCAGCGAGGGGUGCUUGCACCCUGUCGGCGAGCGGCGGACGGCUGAGUAACGCGUGGGAACGUGCCCCAAAGUGAGGAAUAACUGCCCGAAAGGGUAGCUAAUACCGCAUAUUAUCUUCGGAUCAAAGGAUUUAUCCGCUUUGGGAGCGGCUCGCGUCGGAUUAGGUAGUUGGUGAGGUAAUGGCUCACCAAGCCGACGAUCCGUAGCUGGUCUGAGAGGAUGACCAGCCAGACUGGAACUGAGACACGGUCCAGACUCCUACGGGAGGCAGCAGUGAGGAAUCUUCCACAAUGGGCGAAAGCCUGAUAGAGCAACGCCGCGUGCAGGACGAAGGCCUUCGGGUUGUAAACUGCUUUUAUAAGUGAGGAAUAUGACGGUAACUUAUGAAUAAGGAUCGGCUAACUACGUG
rnacentral:rRNA from 1 species